UACGGGGGGGGCAAGCGUUGUUCGGAAUUACUGGGCGUAAAGGGCUCGUAGGCGGCCAACUAAGUCAGACGUGAAAUCCCUCGGCUUAACCGGGGAACUGCGUCUGAUACUGGAUGGCUUGAGGUUGGGAGAGGGAUGCGGAAUUCCGGUGGAGCGGUGAAAUGCGUAGAGAUCGGAAAGAACACCAACGGCGAAAGCACUCUGCUGGGCCGACACUGACACUGAGAGACGAAAGCUAGGGGAGCGAAUGGG
rnacentral:rRNA from 1 species